rnacentral:rRNA from 1 species
CACGUAGGGUGCAAGCGUUGUCCGGAAUCAUUGGGCGUAAAGAGCUCGUAGGCGGCUUAGUAAGUCGGGUGUGAAAACCCCAGGCUCAACCUGGGGACGCCACCCGAUACUGCUAUAGCUAGAGUCCAGUAGGGGAGUGUGGAAUUCCUAGUGUAGAGGUGAAAUUCGUAGAUAUUAGGAAGAACACCAGUGGCGAAGGCGGCUCACUGGCCCGGUACUGACGCUCAUGUGCGAAAGCGUGGGGAGCAAACAGG